rnacentral:rRNA from 1 species
CAAUAGCGUAUAUUUAAGUUGCUGCAGUUAAAAAGCUCGUAGUUGGAUUUCGGGUGGGAAUGGCCGGUCCGCCGUUUCGGUGUGCACUUGCUACGCCCACCUUGCUGCCGGGGACGUGCUCUUGAGUUCACGCUCGGGACACGGAGUCGGCGAGGUUACUUUGAGUAAAUUAGAGUGUUCGAAGCAGGCCUACGCUCUGAAUACAUUAGCAUGGAAUAACACGAUAGGACUCUGGCCUAUCUUGUUGGUCUGUAGGACCGGAGUAAUGAUUAAGAGGGACAGUCGGGGGCACUCGUAUUUCAUUGUCAGAGGUGAAAUUCUUGGAUUUAUGAAAGACGAACUACUGCGAAAGCAUUUGCCAAGGAUGUUUUCAUUAA